rnacentral:lncRNA from 1 species
AAAUACCAGCAGGGAAUUGUCAGCAGGAUGCCUGGACGAUGAUGUCAAGCAAGAAACACCAGCAGGUAAAUUAUCAACAUCAUUUCCUGACACGACUGCCUUAAAUGAAGUGUACAAACGGUCAAAGACAAAUCUUAAUGACAAAUUGUUUAUCUUUUAUAGCUAGUUGUAAACUCAAAGGACUCCUUAGUCCUUAUUCACUCCUGUCUGUGUGUCACAGAAUGAUGCAGUAUGAGACGUCACCUAAUUAUCAACAAUUAUUUGCCCGAACAGCAACAAGCAUAAUUACGUUUUCCUGGUUUUAAAGUCCAGGUUUACUUUUCCUAUUCUUACAAGUUUAUUCUUCAUCAGGCUCAGAAAGGUAAAGAGGUGUAAUGGUGUAUAGGUCUGGUGCUUUUUGGUGAGUAGAAAUAAGAAUGUAUGCAUCUCUAUACAUUUGUUCUGAUUUAAAAUUGGCCUUUUGCCAAAAAGAGCUUCAAAGUCAUAUUUAGUUACUUGCUCAGUGGAUCAACUUGUUUGCAGUUGUGAAAACUGGUUUCUCAGUCACAAGGUUGGCAGCACUAGAAGAGGAUCAGACCUCCAAAUGUUCAGGACGAGAGCUGAUGGAGAAGCUGCAACAGUGCCAAGUAAAGCACCUGGACCUGGACCUGAUGCACCGUCAUGUGGCUCAAGACUCCAGAUGCAGCGUGUGUCCAAGCGGCUGGAUCUGGUGGAGGGGUCACUGCUACGUCUGAGGGACGUGAAGAAAAUCGUCAGUGGCAUGAGAGCACGGAGUUUUGUCAGGCACACAACAGCAGUCUGGCUAUAAUCAAAGACUGCAGAGAUGGAAUUUAUCCAAGGUGUGAUGCAGAAGUUCCCUCGCCUAACACACUCCCAGCAGGAAGGCCAGUGGCUGUGGGGGGACGGGACAGAUGCCCAGCACUACAUGCUGUAAGUCCAGAUAAAAAAAAAAUACAUAUAUAAAUAAAUUCUGUGGCUCCUUACAGAAAAAGAGAAUGUGAACAUCACAGGGCCCCUCAAUAUGCUACAACUUAAAAACCCACAAAAUUUAAAU